rnacentral:lncRNA from 1 species
CCCAUGCCCUCUCUCCUCCAUUUUGGCAUCCUCUCUCUAGGAUCCAAGAAGAAGAGGGUGACAUCUUUGUUCUUGGUGUCAAAGUGUUGGUGCCAUCCUCCUAAGAUUGUUGGAAAGUAGUUACAACCACUUCUUAAUUGUUGUUCUUAUUGAUUAAUUAAGGGAUCAAGAAGAAUUUUUGGUUUCUUCAAGAAUCAAGAAAAAAAUAUCCAAAAAGGAUUAUUUCAAUUAAGAUUUGAAAAAAGAGGAUCAAGAUUUGAUCCCUAUCCAGGCUUGGUUCAAGUCUGUUCAGACUUUGAGUUUAAGUGAGUUAUAUCAAGAAGAGCCAAUCCAAAUCGGUCCUGUGAAU